GACGUCGGCUGUGCCUGUUACAUUCUGUGAUGACUCUGGAUAACUUUACUGAUCGCAGUCGGCCUUGUGUCGGCGACGGAUCUUUCAAAUGUCUGCCCUAUCAAUUUGUUGGUAGGUGAUUUGCCUACCAUGAUGAUAACGGGUAACGGGGAAUCAGGGUUCGAUUCCGGAGAGGGAGCCUGAGAAAUGGCUACCACAUCCAAGGACGGCAGCAGGCGCGAAAAUUACCCACUCCCGGCACGGGGAGGUAGUGACGAAAAAUACGUAUACGGGACUCAAUUGAGGCUCCGUAAUUCGAAUGAGUACAAUUUAAAUCCUUUAACGAGGACCAAUUGGAGGGCAAGUCUGGUGCCAGCAGCCGCGGUAACUCCAGCUCCAAAAGCGUAUAUUAAAGUUGCUGCAGUUAAAAAGCUCGUAGUUGAAUCUGGGUCGUGCGGUCGCAUGCCGUUGCUUGUUCACGGUUUUGGUUACGAUCAGGACCAGUGUUCAGCUCGGUGUAGUGGCUGUGCAGCCUUUCAGCCGUGUCUGUGUUAAACGGGUGCUGGUGGGUUGACGAGUUCGUCUUGUUGACCUGUCGGCAUGCUUCCGGAUGCCUUUAAACGGGUGUCGGGAGCGGACGGCAUCUUUACUUUGAACAAAUUCAGUGCUCAAAGCAGGCCUAUGUGCCUGAAAAUUCUUGCAUGGAAUAAUGAAAUAGGACUUCGGUUCUAUUUUGUUGGUUUUCGGAUCCGAAGUAAUGGUUAAGAGGGACAGACGGGGGCAUUUGUAUGGCGGUGUUAGAGGUGAAAUUCUGGGAUCGCCGCCAGACAAACUACAGCGAAAGCAUUUGCCAAGAAUGUUUUCAUUGAUCAGGAGCGAAAGUCAGAGUUUCGAAGACGAUCAGAUACCGUCGUAGUUCUGACCAUAAACGAUGCCAACUGACGAUCCGCGUUGGUUCUAUAAUUGACAUCGCGGGCAGUCCCCGGGAAACCUUUAAGUCUUUGGGCUCCGGGGGGAGUAUGGUUGCAAAGCUGAAACUUAAAGGAAUUGACGGAAGGGCACCACCAGGAGUGGAGCCUGCGGUUUAAUUCGACUCAACACGGGAAAACUCACCCGGCCCGGACACUGUGAGGAUUGACAGAUUGAUAGCUCUUUCUUGAUUCGGUGGGUGGUGGUGCAUGGCCGUUCUUAGUUGGUGGAGCGAUUUGUCUGGUAUC
rnacentral:rRNA from 1 species